AUUGACUUGCUUCAGGCACGAACGCUGGCGGCGUGCCUAAUACAUGCAAGUCGAGCGGGGUUAUUGUAGAAGCUUGCUUCUAAAUAACCUAGCGGCGGACGGGUGAGUAACACGUAGGCAACCUGCCCACAAGACAGGGAUAACUACCGGAAACGGUAGCUAAUACCCGAUACAUCCUUUUCCUGCAUGGGAGAAGGAGGAAAGACGGAGCAAUCUGUCACUUGUGGAUGGGCCUGCGGCGCAUUAGCUAGUUGGUGGGGUAAAGGCCUACCAAGGCGACGAUGCGUAGCCGACCUGAGAGGGUGAUCGGCCACACUGGGACUGAGACACGGCCCAGACUCCUACGGGAGGCAGCAGUAGGGAAUCUUCCGCAAUGGGCGAAAGCCUGACGGAGCAACGCCGCGUGAGUGAUGAAGGUUUUCGGAUCGUAAAGCUCUGUUGCCAGGGAAGAACGUCUUGUAGAGUAACUGCUACAAGAGUGACGGUACCUGAGAAGAAAGCCCCGGCUAACUACGUGCCAGCCGCCGCGGUAAUUCGUCGUGACUGGGAAACCCCUUGGCGA
rnacentral:rRNA from 1 species